rnacentral:rRNA from 1 species
AAAGUCCCGCAAGGGAUCAGUAGAGUGGCAAACGGGUGAGUAACACGUGGGUGACCUGCCUUCGAGUGGGGGAUAACGUCCCGAAAGGGACGCUAAUACCGCAUAACAUCCUGCCCUUGAACGGGUGGAGAUCAAAGCUGGGGAUCGCAAGACCUAGCGCUUGGAGAGGGGCCCGCGUCCGAUUAGCUAGUUGGUGAGGUAACGGCUCACCAAGGCGACGAUCGGUAUCCGGCCUGAGAGGGCGGACGGACACACUGGGACUGAGACACGGCCCAGACUCCUACGGGAGGCAGCAGUGGGGAAUUGUUCGCAAUGGGCGCAAGCCUGACGACGCAACGCCGCGUGGAGGAUGAAGAUCUUCGGGUCGUAAACUCCUUUCGAUCGAGACGAAUGGCUCCCGUGCUAAUCAACGGGAGAAUGACGGUACCGAGAGAAGAAGCCCCGGCUAACUCCGUGCCAGCAGCCGCGGUAAUACGGGGGGGGCAAGCGUUGUUCGGAAUUACUGGGCGUAAAGGGCUCGUAGGCGGCCAACUAAGUCAGACGUGAAAUCCCUCGGCUUAACCGGGGAACUGCGUCUGAUACUGGAUGGCUUGAGGUUGGGAGAGGGAUGCGGAAUUCCAGGUGUAGCGGUGAAAUGCGUAGAUAUCUGGAGGAACACCGGUGGCGAAGGCGGCAUCCUGGACCAAUUCUGACGCUGAGGAGCGAAAGCCAGGGGAGCAAACGGGAUUAGAUACCCCGGUAGUCCUGGCCCUAAACGAUGAAUGCUUGGUGUGGCGGGUAUCGAU